GUUUGAAGCUCCAGUGAGGGAGCAGUGGCUGGGGUGGCCCAGCUUCAAAGUCUCUGUCCUCUUGAAAAAAGGUGGUCGGGGGACAUUGACCCACCAGCCCCGCAGGCUACUGCCUGCAAACAAGAACCCCUCAUCUGCCACGCACGUUCUUAAUGUAUCUAUAGUCUGCCUGAUGCCACAAAGGAGUCCAGACAGGGUCUCGCUCUGUCACACAGGCAUGAACCACUGCGCUCGGCCCCACUGUCCCUUGAUGGUUACUUUGUGGGCAGGCAGGGGUGAGGAUGGAAGGGCAAGGGCCCGUCCUGAGGCUGCAGAGAAGGUCUUGGUGAAGGAGGAUGAGGUCUGAAUAGGGUGAGAGAGCAGAGACUGGAAAGGGACUGAAGAUCAAGAGCCCCAGGAAGAAUUCUUCCUCAGCAUCAGUGUAGACUGUUUAUUUCCUUUCACAGAGGAGGAAACUGGGGCACAGAGAGGAUGCCCAAAGCUGCACAGCUAGCCAAUGGGAGAGCCAGGAUUUGAACCCAGCAGCUGAUUGGAGUGGGGUAGGGGUGAGGGGCGGAG
rnacentral:lncRNA from 10 species